CCUACGGGGGGCUGCAGUGGGGAAUAUUGCACAAUGGGCGGAAGCCUGAUGCAGCGACGCCGCGUGGGGGAUGAAGGCCUUCGGGUUGUAAACCUCUUUCGCCAGGGAAGAAGGGUUUCUGACGGUACCUGGAGAAGAAGCACCGGCUAACUACGUGCCAGCAGCCGCGGUAAUACGUAGGGUGCGAGCGUUGUCCGGAAUUAUUGGGCGUAAAGAGCUUGUAGGCGGUUUGUCGCGUCUGCGGUGAAAACUCACAGCUUAACUGUGGGCGUGCC
rnacentral:rRNA from 1 species